AUGUCGGUCUUCCCUGCCAAGAUAGCUACCUUCCCGGGACGCUACUUGGGGCUCCCCCUGCAUUAUCGCCGCCUUAAAGGGGUUGAUCUGCAACCCUUUAUCGAUAAGUUCGCAGGCAGACUACCGGGAUGGAAAGGAAAGCUUCUCAACAAGCCUGGCAGGGUGGCACUUGCUCAGUCUGUCCUCACGGCCAUGGCCACCUUCCACAUCUCAGCUCUCAACUUGUCGAAGGGGACUCUUAGAAAGAUCGACAAAAUCAUUCGGGCCUUCAUCUGGCAAAAAGAGGACCAAUCUCAGACCUCGGGAUGUCACUCCCUUGUUAACUGGAAGACCGUCUGCCACCCA
rnacentral:rRNA from 1 species